GAGGGACUAGAUUUCAGCUUAUUGGCAGGGUUCAAGUCACCAAAGCAGAUUUUAUGUAUCUGAAACAUUGGAGUCAAGCCAGAGAUUCUAAAACGUGUUGGAGA